rnacentral:lncRNA from 1 species
AGAAGGAAGACUCUUCACUAGAGAAUGAGUCAUUCUUUUGCACAUUUUUCAAGGCUAGCCUGUGAAACCAUUAUUUAAGUUAUAAGCAUUCUGGAAACUCCUGCUGACUGAAGAUUUCAUCUUUACUGUUCAUGAUACCAUACAGGAAUUAGAACAGGACAGCUAGAUCAGGCUGCUAAGAGCCCCAUCCAGCCUGACCUUGAAUGUCUCCAGGGUCAGGGCACUGAUGGUCUUCUGUAUGAAAUUACUGUUCCUGCAUGUUGAAAACUGACGUGGGUGAUCACGUAAUUGACUAGGAAACAAAACUUGUUUAACAAAGAAUCAUAGAAUCCUUAGAGUUGGAAGGGACCUCUAAAGGCCAUCUAGUCCAACUCCCCUGCAAUGAACGGGGACAUGCACAACUAGACCUUGUUGCCCAGGGCCUGAUCCAGCCUCGCUUUGAAAGUCUCCAGAGAUGGGGCAUCGACCACAUCUCUGGGAAACCUGUUCUGGUGCCUCACCACCCUCACUGUAAAAUACUUUUUCCUUAUAUCCAAUCUAAAUCUACCCUCUUUAAGCUUGAAGCCAUUUCUCCUUCUUCUAUCACCACAGAUUCUGCUAGAGUCUGUCCCUUUCUUUACUGUAGCUCCCCUUGAGAUACUGAAAGGCCACUAUCAGAUUGUCAGCCAUGUAUUUCUAGUCAAUGGAAAACUCUGGGAACGAUUAGUUUGGUUAGUACCUGUUAUUAGGCGUCAGUAAUGCUGUGGUUCUCUAUUAUAUCAAGGAUUUGUUUUCCCUUUCAGGUGCUCAAAGCCCCAAUAUCACAAUGGCCCAUACAGCACCUAGUAACGUGGCAUGAGGAUUUGAAAGGGAGUGACUGUAUCCUGACCACUAAAGGAAAAGGAAAGAAGAAAAGAGAAUAUUCUGAGACCUUCAAAAACAAUGUUAUCUCAAACUGAAAUUCACAGGGAGGAACUAUAGUUUAAGGACUAGAUCCAUGAAAAUAACAAUGAAGGAAGCAGAGGCCAUAUAAAUGUUAUCACACUGUCUGACUCAGGAUAAUUCUUCACGUUUGCCAUUGACUUAGCAGGGAUGACAACAGAAGGCAAUGUCCAGCAUCUUCUAUUAGACCCCUUGGGGCAGAAGCUGAGAGGAACAGCAAGAUUAAAUCCCAGAAGAGGCUUUAGUUGGGAAAAUAUACCAAGAGUCAAGAGAGAGCAGUGAAGUCCUUGGUUCAUAUAUAGGUAUGGUUUAAUUAGAUGAUUUUAAUCUUGUUGACUGCUCUCCUUACUUUCCUCUGCAUCCAUCAAUCUCCCACAGUUGAAAACUUAGGUUAGAUUGCUCAUGGCACUAUUUGACACAAUUCAAGUCUAAGUGUAAUAUCUCUGCUUUCUCCUUUCCAUUAGACAGUUCAAAGCCUUGAAAAUGUACUUAAUAAAAGUUGAGUGCCUGUAUAUAUGUGCGUAUAA